AUUGAACGCUGGCGGCAGGCCUAACACAUGCAAGUCGAGCGGAUGAAGGGAGCUUGCUCCUGGAUUCAGCGGCGGACGGGUGAGUAAUGCCUAGGAAUCUGCCUGGUAGUGGGGGAUAACGUCCGGAAACGGGCGCUAAUACCGCAUACGUCCUGAGGGAGAAAGUGGGGGAUCUUCGGACCUCACGCCAUCAGAUGAGCCUAGGUCGGAUUAGCUAGUUGGUGGGGUAAAGGCCUACCAAGGCGACGAUCCGUAACUGGUCUGAGAGGAUGAUCAGUCACACUGGAACUGAGACACGGUCCAGACUCCUACGGGAGGCAGCAGUGGGGAAUAUUGGACAAUGGGCGAAAGCCUGAUCCAGCCAUGCCGCGUAUGUGAAGAAGGUCUUCGGAUUGUAAAGCACUUUAAGUUGGGAGGAAGGGCAGUAAGUUAAUACCUUGCUGUUUUGACGUUACCAACAGAAUAAGCACCGGCUAACUUCGUG
rnacentral:rRNA from 1 species